GAUGAACGCUAGCGACAGGCUUAACACAUGCAAGUCGAGGGGCAGCGGGGGUAGCAAUACCCGCCGGCGACCGGCGCAUGGGUGAGUAACGCGUAUGCAACUUACCUAUCAGAGGGGGAUAACCCGGCGGAAGUCGGACUAAUACCGCAUGAAGCAGGGGCCCCGCAUGGGGAUAUUUGCUAAAGAUUCAUCGCUGAUAGAUAGGCAUGCGUUCCAUUAGGCAGUUGGCGGGGUAACGGCCCACCAAACCGACGAUGGAUAGGGGUUCUGAGAGGAAGGUCCCCCACAUUGGUACUGAGACACGGACCAAACUCCUACGGGAGGCAGCAGUGAGGAAUAUUGGUCAAUGGGCGCGAGCCUGAACCAGCCAAGUCGCGUGAGGGAUGAAGGUUCUAUGGAUCGUAAACCUCUUUUAUAAGGGAAUAAAGUGCGGGACGUGUCCCGUUUUGUAUGUACCUUAUGAAUAAGGAUCGGCUAACUCCGUGCCAGCCGCCGCCGUAA
rnacentral:rRNA from 1 species